CAAAAGACAUAUCUGGCUUCAAGACUAAACUUGGUCGCAUAUAGGGCAGAGCGAUGGAAUGCCAGGAGAAAACUCUCUGGUGGUAGGUGUCUCCAGAGCAACCAGAAGCUAGACACAAGAGGUGAUUCUCCAGAGGUUUCUAGCUCACUUUCACAGACCCAAGAGGAGUGAAUUACACAAUCAACUGCCACCCCAGGCAUCCGCCUACACCAGUUAUGUUACAACAUAAGGGCCGGACUCUGCUUGCAGUCACUGCCAGGUAUAGUGCUGGCGACCGUGAAAAAUCCCAGUGAGACAAUGCUUACUACUCGAAGCGAUCUCAGUGGAGUCGACAAGACCACUCAUUAGCAUCAGCGCUUGUGCAACUCGUGCUAAGAGAUUGUGAGUCUAUGCCACCGUCUAGGGGCUGGUCCAUGGAAGAAGUUUUUGAAACUGCUAUAGCUGCCCGCUAAGGGGCUUAAAACCUAGUGCUCUGCAUGGUUGAGCCCCACUGACCAGCAUAAAUGGAAGAGACUUUUGCUUUUACUUUCUUUUUUAAUAUAUUAAAAAAUAUAUAAAAGCUGAGAUUGUCAUAAAAUAACAAAACUCCAGGAUCUGGGGUGUUUAGAAAAAAACCACUCCUGGUAUUGUGAGACUUGUAAAUCAUGAGACAUGGCACCAAGAUCCCAUUAGAACACAGUCAGACAUUUUAGUGUAGGCUGAGUAUAAUUGCUUCCCUGUGACUGGAUUCAAGCCUUGCGCUGUCCAAGGAUAGCAUUCUGUUACAAGGACGUGGCUAAAUCCUGUCUACAAUAACACUUUAGUCCUGUGUUGAAGCUGGGUUUCCUGGCCCUGUGAUGGCUGUUGCCCAGAUAGGAUUUAAAUCCUUGCAAUCAGAUCUGUGUGGCUGGAUUCCCUCACCAGCACAGGUUUCUGCUGAAAUCAAUGAGCUCUGUAUUGGCCCAGGGAGCAGCCCACGUGGGUGAGAUUGCAGAAAUAGGACUUAAACCACUGACCUCCCUUCCAAAGAAAGAUUUUCACCUGCAUAUACUGAAGGGCAGGAGGGGUUUCCAAGACACAAGCAAGCAACACCCACACACAUCGUGUGGUAUAGAAAUUAAUACAAACAGCAGCAGCUCUGAGUUAAGUCCAGACACAGAGAGAGAAAGAAGGGUGCUGAUUCCUGCAUGUCACAUGGACACACACAAUACUUCUGACUGCUUUAUGGGUUAAUCAAAGUCUUCAGCCCCCAGCCCUUCCAGAGACUCCACAAGGGCAAUUAAUCACAAUAAUUAAUGUUACAUGGAUGCCAGAGCCCACUAACAAUCAGGAAGAGAAGAAAGCUUUCCCUAACUUCUAAUAUGUUACCUUUUACUAGCUCCCUCAGAACAGAUCGUCUCCCACCAACAAUAAAAAAAAUCAGAUGUGGAUUCAAGGCCAUAUCAUGUCCUUCAUCAUCUUCCCAGCUGGAGAAGAAACAGCCUUUUGUACAUCUCUAUUUGCUUUGUGCAUUGCAUUUCAGUUACCCAACCAAAAAUAAAGAGUGCGUGGGGGGGGGGGGCGCGAGGAAUAAGGAUUAAGACAUAAAACUUUACUGGUUAAUUUAAAAUUAUGCUUUUAAACAAAACCCUCUGGAUUGGCAACCAUGUAUUUCAAGAUGUUAAAAGAUGGAAGAACACAAGAAGCACAUGGAGGAAUAAACAACCUCAUCUCAGAGUGUAUAUUUUGUCUUAAUUAUGUCACCGAGAAGGUGUUAAUAUACAACGUACAGUGUAUUAAUCACCCCUCUAACUUCCAAAUGCGAAAUGCUUCAUUAACACUCAUGUUGUUAUCAAUUAGUUUGCUGCAUUGGAAGGAAGGGAGGAAAGGCAGCUUUUCUCAUGAAAGUGCACUGUGUUUUUGAAAGUCUCAGGAUCAGAAAAACCAGUCUGGGUGAAACUCUUGCCCGUCUACCACAUACAGAGACCUGCUGCUGCUGAGAUGCAGAACAAUGUUGAAUUGACGUGGCUAUAUGACAUGUUCUGUGGUGCCCGGGAUAGACUACGGGUAACUUUUUCUAAAGCACCUAAAAUGACUUUGGAGUCUAAAUCCUAUUGUCAAAAGUGACUCAGACACUUAGGACCAGAUUUUCAAAAGGAUUCCGGUAUCUAAAGAUA